GAUGAACGCUGGCGGCGUGCCUAAUACAUGCAAGUCGAGCGAACAGACGAGGAGCUUGCUCCUCUGACGUUAGCGGCGGACGGGUGAGUAACACGUGGAUAACCUACCUAUAAGACUGGGAUAACUUCGGGAAACCGGAGCUAAUACCGGAUAAUAUAUUGAACCGCAUGGUUCAAUAGUGAAAGACGGUUUUGCUGUCACUUAUAGAUGGAUCCGCGCCGCAUUAGCUAGUUGGUAAGGUAACGGCUUACCAAGGCAACGAUGCGUAGCCGACCUGAGAGGGUGAUCGGCCACACGGGAACUGAGACACGGUCCAGACUCCUACGGGAGGCAGCAGUAGGGAAUCGUCCGGAAUGGGCGAAAGCCUGACGGAGCAACGCCGCGGGAGUGAUGAAGGUCUUCGGAUCGUAAAACUCUGUUAUUAGGGAAGAACAAAUGUGUAAGUAACUAUGCACGUCUUGACGGUACCUAAUCAGAAAGCCACGGCUAACUACGUG
rnacentral:rRNA from 1 species